GACGAACGCUGGCGGCGUGCCUAAUACAUGCAAGUCGAACGCAUUUUCUUUCACCGUAGCUUGCUACACCGAAAGAAAAUGAGUGGCGAACGGGUGAGUAACACGUGGGUAACCUGCCCAUCAGCGGGGGAUAACACUUGGAAACAGGUGCUAAUACCGCAUAAUUCCAUUUACCGCAUGGUAGAUGGGUGAAAGGCGCUUUUGCGUCACUGAUGGAUGGACCCGCGGUGCAUUAGCUAGUUGGUGGGGUAACGGCCUACCAAGGCUGCGAUGCAUAGCCGACCUGAGAGGGUGAUCGGCCACACUGGGACUGAGACACGGCCCAGACUCCUACGGGAGGCAGCAGUAGGGAAUCUUCGGCAAUGGACGCAAGUCUGACCGAGCAACGCCGCGUGAGUGAAGAAGGUUUUCGGAUCGUAAAACUCUGUUGUUAGAGAAGAACAAGGAUGAGAGUGGAAAGUUCAUCCCUUGACGGUAUCUAACCAGAAAGCCACGGCUAACUACGUG
rnacentral:rRNA from 1 species